UAGGGAAUCUUCCGCAAUGGACGAAAGUCUGACGGAGCAACGCCGCGUGAGUGAAGAAGGAUUUCGGUUCGUAAAACUCUGUUGUUAGGGAAGAAAAAAUGUAUAGUAACUAUAUACAAAAGAGACGGUACCUAACCAGAAAGCCACGGCUAACUACGUGCCAGCAGCCGCGGUAAUACGUAGGUGGCAAGCGUUGUCCGGAAUUAUUGGGCGUAAAGCGCGCGCAGGUGGUUUAGAAAGUCUGAUGUGAAAGCCCACGGCUCAACCGUGGAGGGUCAUUGGAAACUAAUAAACUUGAGUGCUGGAGAGGAUAGUGGAAUUCCUAGUGUAGCGGUAAAAUGCGUAGAUAUUAGGAGGAACACCGGUGGCGAAGGCGGCUAUCUGGACAGUAACUGACGCUGAGGCGCGAAAGCGUGGGGAGCAAACAGG
rnacentral:rRNA from 1 species